GUCUCGGUGGUGUAGUGGUCAAGACGCUCGCCUGGUAAUCGGAGGACGUGGGUUCAAUUCUACCCAAGAUA
rnacentral:tRNA from 1 species